rnacentral:rRNA from 1 species
AGAAUCAACGCUGGCGGCGUGCCUAACACAUGCAAGUCGCACGAGAAAGGGGAGCAAUCCCUGAGUAAAGUGGCGCACGGGUGAGUAACACGUGAAUCAUCUACCUCCGAGUGGGGAAUAACCUAGAGAAAUCUGGGCUAAUACCGCAUAACACUUACGAGUCAAAGCAGCAAUGCGCUUGGAGAGGAGUUCGCGGCCGAUUAGCUAGUUGGCGGGUAAUGGCCCACAAGGCGAUGAUCGGUA